CCUACGGUAGGCAGCAGUGAGGAAUAUUGGUCAAUGGACGAGAGUCUGACCCAGCCCAGUAGCGUGAAGGAUGACUGCCCUAUGGGUUGUAAACUUCUUUUAUAUGGGAAUAAAAUGUUCUACGUGUGUGAUUUUGUAUUUACCAUCUGUAUCAUGAUAGGCUAACUCCGUUCCCGCCGCCCCGGUAAUACGGAGGUUCCGAGCGUGAUCCGGAUUUAGUGUGUUUAAAGGGAGAGUAGGAUGAUAGUUAAGUUCAUUGUGAAAGUUUGCGUCUCAACCGUAAAAGGGCAGUUGAAACUGGCAGUCUUGAGUGCAGUAGAGGUGAGCGGAAUUCGUGGUGGAGCGCGGAAAUGCUUAGAUAUCACGAAGAACUCC
rnacentral:rRNA from 1 species